rnacentral:lncRNA from 12 species
CAAAAACCAAAACAACAACAAAAAAAACACCCAACCAAAAUAAAAGGCGACAACUGCCCACAAAGGGCUCGGGGCUGCUUAAAGGCAAAACGCGGCUGCGAAAUCUCCACUCGCGUCCAGGUGACAUCGCGCGGCUCCGCUUUCAUCCUCCUCGCCCUUAUUUCCAUUUCUCUUCCCGUUUCCCAUUUCCUUUCUCCGGUUUUCCUCCUUUUCUGCCUCCCUUUUUCAUCCCCCUUUUUCUUUUUCAUUUCCCUUUUCUCUUUUUCAUUCCCUUUCUCAUUUUCAUCCCCCUUUCCCAUUUUCAUUUCCCUUUCCCUUUUUCAUUCCUUUUCUCUUUUUCAUUCCCUUUCCCAUUUUCAUCCCCCUUUCCCAUUUUCAUUCCCUUUCCCUUUUUCAUUUCCCUUUUUUCUCUUUUUCAUUCCCUUUCUCUUUUUCAUUCCCUUUUCUCAUUUUCAUCCCCCUUUCCCAUUUUCAUUUCCCUUUCCCUUUUUCAUUCCUUUUCUCUUUUUCAUUCCCUUUCUCAUUUUCAUUCCCUUUCUCAUUUUCAUUUCCCUUUCCCAUUUUCAUUUCCCUUUCUCUUUUUCUUUUCCCUUUCUCUUUUCCAUUCCCUUUCCCAUUUUUAUUCCCUUUUUUCUUUUCUCAUUUUCAUUUCCCUUUCCCAUUUUCAUUUCCCUUUCUCUUUUUCUUUCCCCUUUCUCUUUUCCAUUCCCUUUCCCAUUUCUAUUCCCUUUUUUCUUUUUCAUUCCCUUUCUCAUUUUUUUCAUUUCCCUUUCUCUUUUUCUUUUCCCUUUCUCUUUUCCAUUCCCUUUCCCAUUUUUAUUCCCUUUUUUCUUUUUCAUUCCCUUCCUCUUUUCCAUUCCCUUUCUCAUUUUCAUUCCCUUUCUCUUUUUCUUUCCCCUUUCUCUUUUCCAUUCCCUUUCUCUUUCUCAUCCCCCUUUCCCAUUUUCAUUCCCCUUUCUCAUUUUCAAUCCCCUUCUCUCAUUUUCAUCCCCUCAUCUCUUUUUCCUUUUUCUUCCCUCAUUUCUUCCCUCCCCUCCUCUCCAUUUUUUUCUCCCUCCUUUUCCCCCACCUUUAUUCCUCUCACUCUCCCCCUUCACCUCUAAGCUCCGCUUUUUUAAUUUUUGAAUUUUCGGGUGAAACUGGCGCUCCAACAGAUUCCCCAAGCCUGGAAUUCCUCCUUUCUCCAUCACCCCACCCUUUUUCCCCCCUCCCCACCACGCCACCACCUCCUCUGCGGACAGGAGGAGAUGGAGAUAAAACAGGGGGGGGAAAAAAAAAAACCAGCUUCCCCCCCCCCCCCCCCCCCCCCCCCCCCCCCCCCCCCCCCCCCCCCCC